CAAUAACCAUCUCUACAAAAUAUCUCACGCUCUCACUCUCUCAUCCUCUCUCAUCUCUCUUUCUUUCAUUCCAUAGAGAGUUGCCUGCCACUGUCGCAAAGAGCACCCAUCUUCGACCAGCCACCGUCGCACACGAGCACCCAUCUCCGACCAGCGACAGUACCACAUCGCGCAUCGUGGAUAGUUGGUAUUUCUUCUUCCUCUUCCUUUUUUUUCUUCCCCUUCCCUUUUCUCUCUCUCUCUCUCUGUGAAAACUUUUUGGGUGCAAGCAUUUGAAUCUAUGAAUAGAAAGAGAAGAUAAAGGAGAGCCAAAAGGAAUCAUUUACUGAUCACCGCCGUCGCAACGCCACUGACCACCUCUCGUCUUGCCGUCAUCCUCUCUCGAAGACAACACCGAUCAGCUUUUCUCUCCUCUCACCCUUCUCUUUCGUCUCUCUCCUCUUGCAAGGUGUGGCCUCCACUUGAAUUGAAGAAGUUCCAGACCCUGUCUUACCUUUCUCCACUCUCUCUUGUACAAUUGGGAAAAGAAGUUGAUUACCUUAUUUGCCUGGCAUGAAUUCCUUGCUUAGAAUUCUCUGUUGAGGUUAUUUCUACCUCUUUCUUUUUUUUUUCUUCUCAACCCUUGUUCUUGUGGUGUGUGUGGCUUUUGCACUUCAACCCUAGUAUAAAAUUGUUUUUCAAUUUUUUUUUUGUUUUUUUGUUUUUGUUUUUGUUAAUAACCUAGUAAGUUGUGUGUCCAAAGAUGCUGCUCUGCUUCAAAGGAAAAGGAUAGUAUUGUGCAAGCCUCAUUGCCCAUUUAUUUAUUUUUUGGAUGUGUAUGAAAAUAAACAAUCAAAAGUUAAUUGCAAUGUUAGCUUGGUUCUUCCUUUGAAUGACAAAAAAAGAAGAAAUUAAACUCUAGUUUGACAAAUAAUUCAAUUAGAAGAAAGAAUUGUACCUUACUGUUACUCUUAUUGAAUUUCCUGCAAGGGUUUAUUAAGUUAAAUUCUGCAAUUUAAUAGUAAUGGGUUCUGGAGAUUGGUUUAAGAAUACAAUUAGCUUAAAGAAAGGGAAUGAUGCAAUUUAUUCUUUUACAAUUUGUUGUUUUGUAACACCGAGAAGUUGAAUUUGAAAAGUGAAAAUGAAUAUAAAUACUUGAGGCAAAGCAAUUGCUAUUCAAUUUAUGGGGUUGAUGAUGCCGAAUAGUUUCGCAUCGUAAUGGAAGCUGUGGAUAUUGUUCAUGUUAGCAAAGAGGAUCAAGAAAGUGUAUUUAAAAUGCUCACUGCAGUUUUGUGGUUGGGGAAUGUCUCCUUUACCAUGUUGAAAAUGUCUCCUUUACAGUGAUUGAACCUGUGGCUAAAAUUGGGCAUGGCAAUCCUUGUUGCAGUGAAGAGGUUUUGAAACCCCUUCAGAAAAUAUUGCAUUGCUGAUGGUGCUUCAUGAAUGCCAUCAGUUGUUCUUAUAAUCAAAUCAAAAAUUUAGAAAACAAGCUCAUAGGAUUUUGGAAGAGGGAGAGGAACUAUUAAUAGAUUAGAUUGAUUGUUGAUAUGUGCUGAUAUCUACUAGGGUGAAUCUUUUAUAGAGUAAUUAAGUGUGUAGGAGCAUCCA